rnacentral:rRNA from 1 species
AGAGUUUGAUUCUGGCUCAGGAUGAACGCUAGCGACAGGCUUAACACAUGCAAGUCGAGGGGCAUCACGGGAGUAGCAAUACAACUGGUGGCGACCGGCGCACGGGUGAGUAACGCGUAUGCAACCUACCUAUCAGAGGGGAAUAACCCGGCGAAAGUCGGACUAAUACCGCAUAAAACAGGGCACCGCAUGGUGAUAUUUGUUAAAGAAAUUCGCUGAUAGAUGGGCAUGCGUUCCAUUAGGUAGUUGGUGAGGUAACGGCUCACCAAGCCGACGAUGGAUAGGGGAACUGAGAGGUUGGUCCCCCACACUGGUACUGAGACACGGACCAGACUCCUACGGGAGGCAGCAGUGAGGAAUAUUGGUCAAUGGGCGGGAGCCUGAACCAGCCAAGUCGCCGUGAAGGAAGAAGGAUCUACGGUUCGUAAACUUCUUUUGCAGGGGAAUAAAGUGCAGGACGUGUCCUGUUUUGUAUGUACCCUGAGAAUAAGGAUCGGCUAACUCCGUGCCAGCCGCCGC